UAUCGGUUAAGGCAACUAGAAGCAGGCAACAGAGCACAGAACAAGAUGGUUCUAGUCUACUGUUCUCCUUUUCUAAUAGAAAUUAACUGAAUUCCGGCAACACUUGAGGUUUUGGGGCUCCUCUCUUUCACCAUAUGCUGGAAUGAGUCAAGGCUGUGUAUGGGAAAUGAUCACUCUAUUUAAAUUAUGUCAUUUAAACCUCCCUGUUGAGUAACAGACUUGACUUCUCUCAACAGUCAAUCGGAUCCACAAGAUGAAGAAUGCCAUUGUGUGAGUACAGAUUUGAACCCUGUUGCUAAUCACUGGAUGACCCUUUGGGCUAUUUAUCAAAAGGAUCUGCGCCUUUUCUAAGCCUAAACUCGAGAGUCAAUGAUUAUCCUUUUGUCACAGUCUUUUCUCCAUACUUUGUCCUAUUUUUUUCUCCUACAAAAACCAAACACAUUAGCCCAGCAUAGUUGUGCAUGCCUGUAGUCCCAGCUACUUGGGAGGCUGAGUUGGGAGGAUCACUGAAGCCCAGAAGGUGGAGGUUAUAGUGAGCUGAGAUCGUGCCACUGUACUCCAGCCUGGGCGUCAGAGCGAGACCCCAUCUCUAUUUAAAAAUAAGAAGAAGAAGAAAGAAAGAA
rnacentral:lncRNA from 10 species